rnacentral:rRNA from 1 species
GAUGAGCGCUGGCGGCGUGCCUAAUACAUGCAAGUCGAGCGAACAGACGAGGAGCUUGCUCCUCUGACGUUAGCGGCGGACGGGUGAGUAACACGUGGAUAACCUACCUAUAAGACUGGGAUAACUUCGGGAAACCGGAGCUAAUACCGGAUAAUAUAUUGAACCGCAUGGUUCAAUAGUGAAAGACGGUUUUGCUGUCACUUAUAGAUGGAUCCGCGCCGCAUUAGCUAGUUGGUAAGGUAACGGCUUACCAAGGCAACGAUGCGUAGCCGACCUGAGAGGGUGAUCGGCCACACUGGAACUGAGACACGGUCCAGACUCCUACGGGAGGCAGCAGUAGGGAAUCUUCCGCAAUGGGCGAAAGCUUGACGGAGCAACGCCGCGUGAGUGAUGAAGGUCUUCGGAUCGUAAAACUCUGUUAUUAGGGAAGAACAAAUGUGUAAGUAACUAUGCAUGUCUUGACGGUACCUAAUCAGAAAGCCACGGCUAACUACGUG